rnacentral:rRNA from 1 species
GACGAACGCUGGCGGCGUGCUUAACACAUGCAAGUCGAACGGAAAGGCCCUGCUUUUGUGGGGUGCUCGAGUGGCGAACGGGUGAGUAACACGUGAGUAACCUGCCCUUGACUUUGGGAUAACUUCAGGAAACUGGGGCUAAUACCGGAUAGGAGCUCCUGCUGCAUGGUGGGGGUUGGAAAGUUUCGGCGGUUGGGGAUGGACGCGCGGCUUAUCAGCUUGUUGGUGGGGUAGUGGCUUACCAAGGCUUGGACGGGUAGCCGGACUGGGAGGGUGACCGGCCACAGAGGGAUACGGGAACGGCCAGUGCGCAUACGGGGGGCAGGGGCGGGAAAUUUUGCAAGAUGGGCGGAGGGUGGAUGGAGCAUCGUCGCGUGCGAGAGGACGGCCUUUGGGUAGGAAACCGCUUUCGCCUGUGACGAGGCGUGAUGAACUUAAAUGGGUAAAGAGGCACCGCUUACUUACGG